CUACAUACGAGGAUGACUAUUAAAUCACACAGGGUAGCUCAUCCGUCUGAAUUAGCUAGUCAGGAUUAUAGUUAGUCUAUGAUGGCUGAGUUGGGAGAGUUAGAUGAAAUGAGUCUAGCAGUCUUAGAUUGAAUGCAUGCUAGAAACUAAAACUUGCUUGAUUUUAUAAUAAGAAAGUUCAAUCAAAAUCCUUUGGUAGUGGAGAUAUACUAUAUAUGGAAGACAAUUCUUCCUAGCAAGCUACAAGAUUCAAGAUUUGGGAAAUAGUCUCCGAACUAAGAAGGAUCAUGUAUUAUUGAUCAAGCAUAGCUUUGAAGAGUAUAUAUAUAUGCUAAAGAAUAUUGAUUAUAAGGUUUUUAAUGGGAAAUACUGAAGAAAUACUAUCCUACACC
rnacentral:lncRNA from 1 species